UCAGGACAUGUAUUUUAGAUUAGCUGAGGUAGAAAAACUGACAGAUCAGAAGAAAGGAUGAACAGAAGAAGGUGUGGGGGCCAUGGUAUUCUUCAUGACAAUUUGAAUAACUUGUGAAGAAAAAAAGUUCUGAUAUUGAAGAAAAAGGAAAAGAAAAAAUAUUAUGCCGAAAUUGAAGACAAAGCCCUCGUCUUGCUAGACAAUGUGCUAAAGAACCAUGUGGCUAGACAAAAGUCUAUCGAGACCCUACUUAAUACGUACCAAAAGUCCACCAGUAUGAAAGAAGGAAGGCUCAAGAAUCUCCCAGUUUCUUGCACAAUAUCAGUCAAAAGAGAUGAAUAUUAUAUUUCACAAGGGGAUAGAUCAGAAUGACUAUUACAAACUUAUCCAAAAGAGAUGUAUUAUUUCCUCACAUUAUAAAACACAAGCUCUUCCACAAAUCAAAGCUGGACCACCUGAAUCAGCAGAAUCUACAAAUACUCUCAAGCUUUGUCCUCAAGAAGAAUUCUUGAGACCGUAAACAAAAACCUGGAGAGAUGCUGUGCUCUGUUCAUGAAGUGGACAA